AUUGAACGCUGGCGGCAGGCCUAACACAUGCAAGUCGAACGGUAGCACAGAGAGCUUGCUCUCGGGUGACGAGUGGCGGACGGGUGAGUAACGUCUGGGAAACUGCCCGAUGGAGGGGGAUAACUACUGGAAACGGUAGCUAAUACCGCAUAACGUCGCAAGACCAAAGUGGGGGACCUUCGGGCCUCACACCAUCGGAUGUGCCCAGAUGGGAUUAGCUAGUAGGUGGGGUAAUGGCUCACCUAGGCGACGAUCCCUAGCUGGUCUGAGAGGAUGACCAGCCACACUGGAACUGAGACACGGUCCAGACUCCUACGGGAGGCAGCAGUGGGGAAUAUUGCACAAUGGGCGCAAGCCUGAUGCAGCCAUGCCGCGUGUAUGAAGAAGGCCUUCGGGUUGUAAAGUACUUUCAGCGGGGAGGAAGGCGGUGAAGUUAACAACUUCACCGAUUGACGUUACCCGCAGAAGAAGCACCGGCUAACUCCGUGCCAGCCGCCGCGGUAACAC
rnacentral:rRNA from 1 species